CGACUAAGCGUACACGGUGGAUGCCCUGGCAGUCAGAGGCGAUGAAGGACGUGCUAAUCUGCGAAAAGCGUCGGUAAGGUGAUAUGAACCGUUAUAACCGGCGAUGUCCGAAUGGGGAAACCCAGUGCAAUUCGUUGCACUAUCGUUAACUGAAUACAUAGGUUAACGAGGCGAACCGGGGGAACUGAAACAUCUAAGUACCCCGAGAAUAAGAAAACAACG
rnacentral:rRNA from 1 species